AUACUCUGGUUUCUUUACAAUAUCGUGCUAAUUUUUCGCCUUUUACUAAAGAUUACCGUGGAAAGGAACAACUUAAUGAGCUUUACACAAUUUUUGGAAUCUCAAUUCGGUGGGAUU